rnacentral:rRNA from 1 species
GACGAACGCUGGCGGCGUGCUUAACACAUGCAAGUCGAACGGAAAGGCCCUGCUUGCAGGGUACUCGAGUGGCGAACGGGUGAGUAACACGUGGGUGAUCUGCCCUGCACUUCGGGAUAAGUCUGGGAAACUGGGUCUAAUUCAGGACAGGUGCUAUUUUGAGUGUGAUGGUUGGAAAGUUUUUUCGGUGCAGGAUGAGCCCGCGACCUAUCAGCUUGUUGGGGGGGUGAUGGGCUACCAAGGCGGCGACGGGUGGCCGGCCUGCGUGGGUGGACGGCGACAUUGGCACCGAGGUGCGGCCCAGGCUGCGACGGGAGGGAGCAGUGGGGAAGAUUGCACGAUGGGCGCAAGCCUGAUGCAGCGACGCCGCGUGGGGGAUGACGGUCUUCUGGUUGUAAACUCCUUUCGCUAGGGACGAAGCUUUUUGUGACGGUACCUAGAUAAGAAGCACCGGCUAACUACGUG